rnacentral:lncRNA from 1 species
UUGGGUUAUCGUCUGCAUUCCUGACGUAGUGUUUACAGCUUCCUGCUUAUGGCAACAAGGAAGCAGAACGCAGAGUGAUGAGAGAUUUAUGUGGAUAUGAUAGCACUGGACACUUCGAGGCUCCAUUGGCAAAACAUGCGGCAAAUAGGAAACCAAGGGUAGACCUUUGACAUUUAAGAAGUAUAUGCCCUAAGAUUUCUACAGAUCCUGAAAUUCAUCACUACGGCAGAAUCACGCAUCUUAUGUGUCUCCUUGGAAGAAAAUCACUAUGUGAAGCUAACACUUUAAUGAAUGAGGAGUUAUGUUCUGCUUCCUUGAAUAGCUACAUAAAUUAUUUGGAAUUAUUCUCCAAGGGAAACACGUCUGUUCUCUCCGAAAUUAUUCAGUCAUCUAUUUGUAUCAGUAUGGACUCAUGGAUAUAUAUUUUUGUUAUAUUCUGACACUACUUCAUUUUGUUACUCAAAUAGUUCCAGCUUUGGCUAUUGGGAACCCCUUCAGAAUUUCGUUUGUUUGGUUAGUUGGUAGUUGGCUCUGUAUUAUUGUUGUUGUUAUUUUGUU